rnacentral:rRNA from 1 species
GUCCACGCCGUAAACGAUGAGUGCUAGGUGCUGCGGGUAUUGACCCCUGCGGUGCCGUAGCUAACGCGUUAAGCACUCCGCCUGGGGAGUACGGCCGCAAGGCUAAAACUCAAAGGAAUUGACGGGGGCCCGCACAAGCGGUGGAGCAUGUGGUUCAAUUCGACGCAACGCGCAGAACCUUACCUGGGUUAAAUCCACUCGAACCUCGCAGAGAUGUGGGGGUGCUCUUCGGAGAGCGAGUGAGAAGGUGCUGCAUGGCUGUCGU